UGCCUCCCACUACUUCACGUACUUUUAAG
rnacentral:piRNA from 1 species